rnacentral:rRNA from 2 species
ACACGGCCCCGGCCUUCAAGACUGGGUUGAUAAGCCAAGGCUUACCAUACCUAGGGACCGGCCGAAUUUAAAUGGGCGGCUUAGACUAUGUGGCAGCCCCCCCCGUCGGGGCAGAUGAAAC